UACAGAGGUCUCAAGCGUUGUUCGGAAUCACUGGGCGUAAAGGGUGCGUAGGCGGGUCUUUAAGUCAGGGGUGAAAUCCUGGAGCUCAACUCCAGAACUGCCUUUGAUACUGAAGAUCUUGAGUUCGGGAGAGGUGAGUGGAACUGCGAGUGUAGAGGUGAAAUUCGUAGAUAUUCGCAAGAACACCAGUGGCGAAGGCGGCUCACUGGCCCGGUACUGACGCUGAGGUGCGAAAGCGUGGGGAGCAAACAGG
rnacentral:rRNA from 1 species